CUACGGGAGGCAGCAGUGGGGAAUAUUGCACAAUGGACGAAAGUCUGAUGCAGCAACGCCGCGUGGAGGAUGACACAUUUCGGUGCGUAAACUCCUUUUAUAUGAGAAGAUAAUGACGGUAUCAUAUGAAUAAGCACCGGCUAACUCCGUGCCAGCAGCCGCGGUAAUACGGGGGGUGCAAGCGUUACUCGGAAUCACUGGGCGUAAAGAGCAUGUAGGCGGAUUGAUAAGUUUGAAGUGAAAUCCUAUAGCUUAACUAUAGAACUGCUUUGAAAACUGUUAAUCUAGAAUGUGGGAGAGGUAGAUGGAAUUUCUGGUGUAGGGGUAAAAUCCGUAGAGAUCAGAAGGAAUACCGAUUGCGAAGGCGAUCUACUGGAACACUAUUGACGCUGAGAUGCGAAAGCGUGGGGAGCAAACGGGAUUAGAUACCCCGGUAGUCCACGCCCUAAACGAUGCACACUAGUUGUUGUGAGGCUAGACCUUGCAGUAAUGCAGUUAACAC
rnacentral:rRNA from 1 species